CACCAGCCUGUUGGGAAAGAGUGGCUACAGAGAUGGCUCCACCCUCUGUGCACGACUCAGCAGUAGCACUCUGCCUCCCUGGCUGCUCGGCUUUCCUCCAAAGGCAUUCUGUGCUGCAAUCUCCUCCCUCCUGUCUUCUCCAGCCAUCUUCCUGAAGUCAACAGCAGUCCUCUCCAGUCUCUAGACUCCAGCUCCCAGCUGCUGCUCAUUCCAGUGGGCGUGUGUCCCUGUCUGGGCUCUAGGUGUCUAUUAUGCAGAAGGAAGCUUGCCAUCUGAACACUGGAAAACAUCUGACUCGGGAGAAAACAGAGAUAGUUGAGAAGAAAAGACUUUCUCAGUGGCCAGUCCUAAGGAUGUUUGUAGUGCAAAAUGACUGCUACAGGUUACUCAUGAGCAACAGAACUGACCUCUCCUGGUACUUUGCAAGCUGCUAUGGUAAAAGACUCAUAUAAGAAAAGAUGCUGUGGAAACACAGAAGAAUGGAAUCUUAGAAUGGCAAGCAGCAGUAUAACAUUUUAAGCAUUUUGUUGUGCUAUAACGAUUCAAAGAUGGAAAAUCUUUGAAUUUAAACCAGAAAUUAAAACCUUCAAAUUAAAACUGAAAAAUUUAAACCAGAAAUCAUAGCAAUAGUGUAGUAAUGUUAUGUUAUUAUUGUUACAAUAAUUUUAAUUUGCAUCUGUGUCCCAUAUGCUCUAUGAUGUUACAUAUACCUUGCAAUUUUUUAUAUAACUUGCAAUUUUUGAUGUUUAGGCAUUCCAAAUUGGACUGUGACUUGUUUGAUCAAAAUUGUCAUUAAAAUACUUGAGAAGAUAUUUUCUCUUAGUUUAUUUGAAAUGAUUUGGUUUUUCUUGUGUGAUGUUAUAGAUGACAAUUAAAGUUUUCUUACUGA